rnacentral:rRNA from 1 species
UACAGAGGUCUCAAGCGUUGUUCGGAUUCAUUGGGCGUAAAGGGUGCGUAGGCGGCGAGGCAAGUCUGGUGUGAAAUCCCGGGGCUCAACCCCGGAACUGCACUGGAUACUGCUUUGCUAGAGUACUGGAGAGGGAACUGGAAUUUACGGUGUAGCAGUGAAAUGCGUAGAUAUGCGGAGGAACACCAAUGGCGAAGGCAAUCUCCUGGACCUGCACUGACGCUCAUGCACGAAAGCGUGGGGAGCAAACAGG